rnacentral:rRNA from 1 species
CCUACGGGGGGCUGCAGUGGGGAAUAUUGGACAAUGGGCGGAAGCCUGAUCCAGCAAUACCGCGUGUGUGAAGAAGGCCUGAGGGUUGUAAAGCACUUUCAAUAGGAAGGAAUACCUAUCCAUUAAUACUGGGUAGACUGACAUUACCUAUACAAGAAGCACCGGCUAACUCCGUGCCAGCAGCCGCGGUAAUACGGAGGGUGCAAUCGUUAAUCGGAAUUACUGGGCGUCGAGUGGUUAAAGCCGAUGUGAAAGCCCCGGGCUUAACCUGGGAAUGGCAUUUGAUACUGGCGAGCUAGAGUUGAGUAGAGGGGAGUGGAAUUUCAGGUGUAGCGGUGAAAUGCGUAGAGAUCUGAAGGAACACCAGUGGCGAAGGCGACUCCCUGGACUCAAACUGACGCUGAGGUACGAAAGCGUGGGUAGCAAACAGGAUUAGAUACCCCGGUAGUC